rnacentral:rRNA from 1 species
UACGGGGGGAGCAAGCGUUGUUCGGAUUUACUGGGCGUAAAGGGCGCGUAGGCGGUCGUGACAAGUCACUUGUGAAAUCUCCGGGCUUAACUCGGAACGGUCAAGUGAUACUGUCGGACUAGAGUACAGAAGGGGCAACUGGAAUUCUCGGUGUAGCGGUGAAAUGCGUAGAUAUCGAGAGGAACACCUGCGGCGAAGGCGGGUUGCUGGGCUGAUACUGACGCUGGAGGCGCGAAAGCUAGGGGAGCGAACGGG